CAAUGAGCGGUUUACCUCUUCAAUCUGCCAAACGGGGCAAAUCAGCUGAAUGACGAACGAAAAUGAGAGAACCCUCCAAAACAAUGUUGGUUUUAUGAUUUCCGCAAAAUCCAGCACGUGACGGUCAAUCUCAUCGCCCGCAUGUUCAAAUCGAUAUAAAUGCAAUUGGGCUUUUCCGUUUACUGUUUGUUUGAGCACAAGCUUUUCCAAAU